GUUUCAACCUAUGAACUCGUAUGUUUCCACUCAACUUAAGGAGUGUAAGAAGCUACCACUGAAACUGAUGGGGGUAACCAUGUGGUUACAGGCAAAUGAGCACUCACCAUGUGGAUAUACGUCUGUGGCUGCCAACAUGUUACAGGAGCUUGGAGAGAAGUUGAAGCUCCUUACAAGUAUGAGACUGGUUUCCCUCAGGGACUUAUGAAUGCUAACCUGUAGCUGGAGAGAACUCGCUGAGAGGGCUGAUUACCGUAAAUGGCACCAGAAGUCACUAGGGUACAAAAGUAUGAGGUCCAGGAGAAGCCAGGCCUUAGAGAAGAUUAAGAGUGGUGCUCCAGGGUUCAAAUGUACAGAGUAUGAAACCACUGCCAUCAGAAAAGAACGACACAUGAAAAGCUUUGCUCUACCAGCCUGUGCUACAAAGGAAAAAUGAAAACCUGAGACAGCAUCAAACAUGCCUGUAGGAAGUAAAGAGAAGAGCAAACAUCCAAGGUGAAAGAAGUGGAGUUUGACAAACCAAUUAUUUUCUGGCAUUAUGGUGAUCACAGAGAAGAAACUUUCUCCAAGACAUGGAAAGUUCAGGCUGCCAUGACUGUCACACCAGAGCUGACAUAUGGCAAACUUCAGAUCCCAGUGGUCAAGAAAGCAGGCAGAGGACAAAGAAGAGUGCACUGUGGGUUGAAUGAUGGCUUAUCUUUCGUUUAUAUCUUUCUGAGUAUCUUCCUGUUUGAUGAAGCUGCUGCAGUCUCCCAUGUGGGGGUUUCUAUACCAAUAUAUUUAGCCCUUCUCCAGAUCUCUCUACAGUUGGAAUGUUCCCCCCUGGACAUGGCAGCAUGUGUCUUCCUAGCAGCAACACCGUAACAGUGAUGUUUAAUCAGGAAAGAGGUCAG
rnacentral:lncRNA from 1 species